rnacentral:lncRNA from 1 species
CAGAUCCAAGACUGAGGAGCGAGAUCUGUAAGGUGCUAGCAUAUUGGUGAUCUCAGUGCUCCAAUCAGACAUCUUCAUGUAGAUACCAGUAAAGGUCGGGUAUGUGUGCGACUACGAUCGAAACCCUAGACAUCCACAGGAUUUGAAGGUAUGGAGAUCUAAUCUUUGAUUUUAUUUUACUGAUGUUUGUUUUUGCUUUUCAGAUUUUAGAUCAAGGUAAUAUGUUUGUGUCAAGAUUCUAAGCAUGAUUUUCAGAUCAGAUCUGAUACGUAUAUUAAAUUAAAAAUAUUUUAAUUUAUUCACUUUCGUUGCAUAAAGUU